rnacentral:tRNA from 1 species
AAAAUCCGUCGACUUAAAAAAGUCGUGAGGGUUCAAGUC